UAGCGCCUCGUGAAUUCAUCUCCGGGGGUAGAGCACUGUUUCGGCAAGGGGGUCAUCCCGACUUACCAACCCGAUGCAAACUGCGAAUACCGGAGAAUGUUAUCACGGGAGACACACGGCGGGUGCUAACGUCCGUCGUGAAGAGGGAAACAACCCAGACCGCCAGCUAAGGUCCCAAAGUCAUGGUUAAGUGGGAAACGAUGUGGGAAGGCCCAGACAGCCAGGAUGUUGGCUUAGAAGCAGCCAUCAUUUAAAGAAAGCGUAAUAGCUCACUGGUCGAGUCGGCCUGCGCGGAAGAUGUAACGGGGCUAAACCAUGCACCGAAGCUGCGGCAGCGACGCUGAUGCGUUGUUGGGUAGGGGAGCGUUCUGUAAGCCUGCGAAGGUGUGCUGUGAGGCAUGCUGGAGGUAUCAGAAGUGCGAAUGCUGACAUAAGUAACGAUAAAGCGGGUGAAAAGCCCGCUCGCCGGAAGACCAAGGGUUCCUGUCCAACGUUAAUCGGGGCAGGGUGAGUCGACCCCUAAGGCGAGGCCGAAAGGCGUAGUCGAUGGGAAACAGGUUAAUAUUCCUGUACUUGGUGUUACUGCGAAGGGGGGACGGAGAAGGCUAUGUUGGCCGGGCGACGGUUGUCCCGGUUUAAGCGUGUAGGCUGGUUUUCCAGGCAAAUCCGGAAAAUCAAGGCUGAGGCGUGAUGACGAGGCACUACGGUGCUGAAGCAACAAAUGCCCUGCUUCCAGGAAAAGCCUCUAAGCAUCAGGUAACAUCAAAUCGUACCCCAAACCGACACAGGUGGUCAGGUAGAGAAUACCAAGGCGCUUGAGAGAACUCGGGUGAAGGAACUAGGCAAAAUGGUGCCGUAACUUCGGGAGAA
rnacentral:rRNA from 1 species